rnacentral:rRNA from 1 species
CAGUAGCCACGGUAAUACGGAGGGUGCAAGCGUUAAUCGGAAUUACUGGGCGUAAAGCGUGCGUAGGCGGUUCGUUAAGUCUGUUGUGAAAGCCCCGGGCUCAACCUGGGAAUGGCAAUGGAUACUGGCGAGCUAGAGCGUGUCAGAGGAUGGUGGAAUUCCCGGUGUAGCGGUGAAAUGCGUAGAGAUCGGGAGGAACAUCAGUGGCGAAGGCGGCCAUCUGGGACAACACUGACGCUGAGGCACGAAAGCGUGGGGAGCAAACAGGAUUAGAUACCCCUGUAGUCCCUGUCUCUUAUAC